AGCGUAUAUUAAAGUUGUUGCAGUUAAAAAGCUCGUAGUUGAAUUUCGGGGUUAGUAGGUUGGUCAUGCCUCUGGUAUGUACUGGUCUCACUGAUUCCUCCUUCCUGAUGAGCCGUAAUGCCAUUAAUUUGGUGUUGCGGGGAAUUUGGACUGUUACUUUGAAAAAAUUAGAGUGUUUAAAGCAAGCUAACGCUUGAAUACAUUAGCAUGGAAUAAUGAAAUAGGACGUUCGAUCCUAUUUUGUUGGUUUCUAGGAUUGACGUAAUGAUUAAUAGGGAUAGUUGGGGGCAUUAGUAUUCAAUUGUCAGAGGUGAAAUUCUUGGAUUUAUUGAAGACUAACUACUGCGAAAGCAUUUGCCAAGGAUGUUUUCAUUAAUCAAGAACGAAAGUUAGGGGAUCGAAGACGAUCAGAUACCGCCGUAGUCUUAACCAUAAACUAUGCCGACUAGGGAUCGGAUGAUGUUAAUUUUUUAAUGACUCAUUC
rnacentral:rRNA from 1 species